CUCUUCUUGUAUAGAAUAAGAAGUAUAACCUGCCCAAUGAAUUUUAAAUGGCCGCGGUAUUUUGACCGUGCAAAGGUAGCAUAAUCAUUAGUCUUUUUAUUGAGGACUGGAAUGAAUGGUUUGACGAGAUAAAAGCUGUCUUUAAGUUAUUUUAUAUAAUUUAAUUUUUAAGUAAAAAAGCUUAAAUAUUUUUAUGGGACGAGAAGACCCUAUAGAGUUUAAUAUUUAUUGGUAUUACUUUGUGUUUAAUUACGUUAAUAUUAAUAUUUAUUUGAUUGGGGUGAUAAUAAGAUAAAUAAAACUCUUUUUAAUUAAUAAUUACAUAUUUGUAUAGUUUUGAUCCAUUAAUAAUGAUUAUAAGACUAAAUUACCUUAGGGAUAACAGCGUUAUCUUUUUUGAGAGUUCUUAUUGACAAAAAGGAUUGCGA
rnacentral:rRNA from 1 species